rnacentral:lncRNA from 1 species
AAAACAAAACUUUAUUUGGUCCGUCAGAACCUGAGUUUGAAAACCACCCAUGGAUAAUUCGUAUCGUACAGGGAUUACUGGUUUGAUUUACAGCUGAUAAAAUAUCCUAUGAUUCUGAAGAGCUGGGCAGUAUUUACAGGGUUAAAAAUAUUCACAGCUCAGAGAGACGGAAAGAAAGAGGGCAAAAAAGUGAAGGACAAAUCAAAAGAGGAAAGAGCGGGGAAGGGAGAAAACAGAAUGAAGAUACAGGCAGAGCUUGGCUCAGUGGCUGUGGGCAGGGACAGUGACAGCGCAGCCACCGUCCCCCCCGCCCGGGGACACAGGGACACGCUGGGCAAAGCCACAAGCCACCAUCCAUCCCUGCCCGCGCAGGCGUUGGGGUGCAGGCAGCCCCCCAGCACCAUUCCAGUGCCCAGCAUCACCCGCCCCAUGCCGAACUGCACAUUCACACGGCUUGGGAAGGAAGGGGAGCACCAGGGGAGCCCCAAAACACACACACACCCACACACACACACACACCCCCCCACCCCCUCGUGUCAAGCCAGAGAGCCACCAUGCCCUGAACAGGGGGGAGAGCUAGCAGCACCCCACAGCUCCUGCAAGCCUUUGCCUUGUGCUCACUGCUGCCCACAGGGCUUGCUGUCUAAGGAUGGGGUGCUCUGCUUUCCCUCCUGCUAAAAUCACACCCCCCAGGACACAGCAACAUGGUAAAGCCAUGGGAGCUGCUCCCCAGAGACCGGUUCUGGAGCCAUCACCCCUCAGCAGGGCAUGGGGAGGCCCCAGGGGGGGCUGAGCCCGACUCAGGGCCAUGGCUUCACUCCAGGCACUGCUCCCAAUGGCCGCCUUUGCAUAGUGACACUGUGUGACAAGGUGAGCGGGGUCCCUGCUGCCACUGCACUGCCAAGCAUCACCCCAUGGCCUCGCUGCCCACCCCAAGCAGUGGUCGCCGAGGUCACCCCGAGGGGUGGGGAAAACCCCCUGCAGCAGCUUUCUCAAACAACCCAGCAUCUUCUC